UACGAGGGGGGCAAGCGUUGUUCGGAAUUAUUGGGCGUAAAGGGCGCGUAGGCGGUGCGGUAAGUCACCUGUGAAAUCUCCGGGCUUAACUCGGAGCCUGCAGGCGAAACUGCCGUGCUUGAGUGUGGGAGAGGUGCGUGGAAUUCCUGGUGUAGCGGUGAACUGCGCAGAUAUCAGGAGGAACACCGGUGGCGAAGGCGGGUCUCUGGGCCGAUACUGACGCUGAGGAGCGAAAGCGUGGGGAGCGAACAGG
rnacentral:rRNA from 1 species